GUCUGAAUUGAGCUGACCAACUGCUUGACUUUAGUAUGUCGCACAUGCAUUUUGCUAAGGCCUCCUCAGGCGCUCUAGCCUCCACAACAAUAGCAAGAGACCAACAACCAGAGAAGAAGACUUGCUGGAGGUGCAGAGUCUCUGACUGCUGUGAAAAAAUAUUCUGCAAGGGAGGCCAGAGAGGCCCUCUGAAAGCAGGAGCCCUAUCAAAGCUCCAGAUGGGAGUGCAGAGGAGGUUGAUGAAGUAGUGGAGUUCAAAGCGCCCACUGAAGAAGAGGAGAAAAAAGCGAAGAAGUGAGCCAACGAGAAGAAGGCCGGACUGUCCAUUCUUUGUGCCUUAAUGGUCCAGGCAGUGUGCCAGAUACUGGCCAACUAGGACUUGC